CACGUAGUGGGCGAGCGUUGUCCGGAAUCAUUGGGCGUAAAGAGCUCGUAGGCGGCUCGGUAAGUCGGGUGUGAAACCCCCAGGCUCAACCUGGGGACGCCACCCGAUACUGCUGUGGCUAGAGUCCAGUAGGGGAGUGUGGAAUUCCCGGUGUAGCGGUGAAAUGCGCAGAUAUCGGGAGGAACACCAGCGGCGAAGGCGGCACUCUGGGCUGGAACUGACGCUGAGGAGCGAAAGCGUGGGUAGCAAACAGG
rnacentral:rRNA from 1 species